CUGUUCUUGACUUCUUGUACAAGCAUGUCACCAAGUCCCUCAUCCUUACUUCGAUAUCAUUGCCAUUUUGACAAUGAUUGUCGAGGACAUCAGCAAAGGCUUCCACAUAUUUAUUUCAUUCGGACCUAGUUUCCGGGUCACUAAAAUAAAAAAGAAGAUUGAUGGGUGUCAUGAGUCAAUGUUCAAGUGAAAACGAAUUACUCAUUUAUGA
rnacentral:lncRNA from 1 species